UACGUAGGGGGCAAGCGUUGUCCGGAAUCAUUGGGCGUAAAGCGCGUGUAGGCGGCUCGAUAAGUCUGCUGUGAAAGUCCAAGGCUCAACCUUGGGAUGCCGGUGGAUACUGUCGAGCUCGAGUCCGGAAGAGGAGUGUGGAAUUCCUGGUGUAGCGGUGAAAUGCGCAGAUAUCAGGAGGAACACCAAUGGCGAAAGCGGCUCACUGGACCAUAACUGACGCUGAGGCACGAAAGCUAGGGGAGCAAACAGG
rnacentral:rRNA from 1 species